GACAGAGGGUGCAAACGUUGCUCGGAAUCACUGGGCGUAAAGGGCGUGUAGGCGGGAAGGAAAGUCGGGCGUGAAAUCCCUGGGCUACACCCAGGAACUGCACUCGAAACUUCUUUCUUGAGUGCCGGAGAGGAAAGCGGAAUACCUGGUGUAGAGGUGAAAUUCGUAGAUAUCAAGGUGGAACACCAGUGGCGAAGGCGGCUUUCUGGACGGUAACUGACGCUGAGAACGCGAAAGCGUGGGAGCAAACAGG
rnacentral:rRNA from 1 species